CUCACCCCCCAGACCCAAUGUCAACCCUGAUGAUUGUGAAAUAUUUAGCCCUUUUGAAAUAUUACACUCAAACCCCGAUGGUUUGACACCAACUGUUGUCAAACGAACGGGGUCACUUUUUAGUUUGACACCCCUUUUACACGGAGUUCACACACACUAUCAAAGGUUUGUGUUGAUAGUGUGCAUGAGCGCCGUGUAAAAAUUGACAGUUCGUCACUUUUUAGUUUGACUUUGACCAACCAACGGGGUACAAACUAAAAAAGUGUUAAACGAAAAAGUGACCAACCAAUAUGCCGAAAUAUGCCUCCCACCCAGUCGGCUUGCGUUCGAUCCCAGACGGUCCCGGUGGCAUUUUUCAAGACGAGAUUUGUCUGACCACGCCUUCCGUCGGACGGGGAGGUAAAUGUUGGGCCCGGACUAACCUAGAGGGUUAGGUCGUUAGCUCAUUCCAGGUGUAGGAGUCGUCUCCCUGGGUCCUGCCUCGGUGGAGUCGCUGGUAGGCAGUUAAACCUUUGGAUUGUUAGGUCGUCAAUUCUAAUCCCGAAUUUCCCGAAUUUUUUUUGUAAUUGUAAUUUAUUUAAAAAAACAGAAAUAAAAACAUAAAUUUAUGUGUAAAGAUGGUAAAGAUAGUUUUAAAAGCGGCCAUUUUUUUCCAAACGCUUAUUUUUUAAAGUCUGAAACAUCAAAAAUGUUUGCAAUAGCCUUACCUAUUUUUACUGUGCACAGUUUUAGCGCAAAAUCAUCAGAAAAUCUCUUUCCUUAAAUUGGCUAACUUGAAAUCAAAAAUCUUAAUUAAAUAUUAAUAUUUUAGGACCCAAUUAGCGUCACGUCUUCACGACAAGUAACUAAACUGUUUAUCGCACACCUGCCAAAUUGGCACUCCUUGGUCUAUUGUUUACACAUUUCAGUUUCGUUUCGUUUUCAGCAUUUUCCCGCGCGCGUUUGCGAAAAUUUAGUGUUUUUGAAAAUAUUUCUGAGUGAAAAUUGUGAAAUUAAUAUCAAUCCACUUUAAUUAAAAGAGUUUUCUUUGUAGUGAAGUGCAAAACAGAAUCUGGAAGAAGCUUUAUGACGUUUCGCGUUCGCACACUAGUGCACCAUUUGAUUUUCUGGCUGACAAAAUUUAACAUAAUUUAACAUAUAAUACAUAAACACGUAGAUUUCUCAGGCACUCCAACAUUGUACGGGUAAGUCCUUUCACGUUUCUGAAUUGUAUCCCACAACAAACUGGUUCAUCUUCAUCCAAGUUCGUCGUACUUGCCCAAACCGUGUUAACAACUUCUGAGACACUAUUAUUUGCUCCCGAAGCCGGUUUGCCGUACUACACCAAAAGCACACACACACAGUUCCAAUACAAUGCAUAUGAUUAACACACGAAGGCACGUUAUCAGCAAGUAACUGAGUUGACGUCAUUUCAUUUGCCUUGUCACGAUCACUUCUCGGUAGUGCAGCAGUGCGUCUAAUCCAGAGAUACCGAUACCGGCUCAGAGAGAAUGCAUCACUUUUCUUCCCGCAACACACUGAUUUGAUUUUAAAUGAGCUCCACACUACGAAUACAUUGAAAACUGGGGGGACGUCCCCAACGGUACCAACACCAACACCAACACACACUCCGAGGGUAGACUGCUGCUGCUUAGCACACUCUAUAUGAUUUUAAUGUGUUGCAUAUAUAUAUAUUAUAUAGGGAAAAGGGGAAAACUAGUUUCCCUGGCUGGAUCCACGUGAACCUGACAUUGGC